rnacentral:rRNA from 1 species
CUCCUACGGGAGGCAGCAGUGGGGAAUUUUGGACAAUGAGCGAAAGCCUGAUCCAGCCAUGCCGCGUGAGUGAAGAAGGCCUUCGGGUUGUAAAGCUCUUUUAGUCGGAAAGAAAGAGUUGCAAUGAAUAAUUGUGAUUUAUGACGGUACCGACAGAAAAAGCACCGGCUAACUACGUGCCAGCGCCGCGGUAA